rnacentral:rRNA from 1 species
GAUGAACGCUGGCGGCGUGCCUAAUACAUGCAAGUCGAGCGAACGGACGAGAAGCUUGCUUCUCUGAUGUUAGCGGCGGACGGGUGAGUAACACGUGGAUAACCUACCUAUAAGACUGGGAUAACUUCGGGAAACCGGAGCUAAUACCGGAUAAUAUUUUGAACCGCAUGGUUCAAAAGUGAAAGACGGUCUUGCUGUCACUUAUAGAUGGAUCCGCGCUGCAUUAGCUAGUUGGUACGGUAACGGCUUACCAAGGCAACGAUGCAUAGCCGACCUGAGAGGGUGAUCGGCCACACUGGAACUGAGACACGGUCCAGACUCCUACGGGAGGCAGCAGUAGGGAAUCUUCCGCAAUGGGCGAAAGCCUGACAGAGCAACGCCGCGUGAGUGAUGAAGGUCUUCGGAUCGUAAAACUCUGUUAUUAGGGAAGAACAUAUGUGUAAGUAACUGUGCACAUCUUGACGGUACCUAAUCAGAAAGCCACGGCUAACUACGUG